rnacentral:rRNA from 1 species
UACGGAGGGUGCAAGCGUUAUUCGGAAUUACUGGGCGUAAAGCGUGCGCAGGCGGUUUGUUAAGUCUGCUGUGAAAUCCCCGAGCUCAACUUGGGGAUUGCAGUGGAUACUGGCAGGCUGGAGUAUGGUAGAGGAAGGUGGAAUUCCCGGUGUAGCAGUGAAAUGCGUAGAGAUCGGGAGGAACACCAGUGGCGAAGGCGGCCUUCUGGACCAAUACUGACGCUCAUGCACGAAAGCGUGGGGAGCAAACAGG